rnacentral:rRNA from 1 species
GGACUACCCGCUGAAUUUAAGCAUAUC